GGGAAACCACCGCCCUGGUGGCUUCUGCUGAUCUUACAACCCAUUUGUUCCUUUUCCCUUCGCCUUCAUGAGUUUCCUGGUUGGAAGAUGGGGGAGGACCUCACCCGCAUCCCUCCUGGAGGUGCAGUGAACAUGGUGGGGCCUUUACCACCGUGCUUUCCUCCUCAGCACAUGGGAAUGCAGCGUGAGACCCAACACGAAAUGAGCUUUGACACCUUUGCUGCAGGUUCAGUGUCACCUCCUCUGGAGGUGGCCAUAAGCGAGAGUUUCAGAGGUCCCUUCUAACCCAAUCCAUUCCAUGAGUGAAGAUUUCACCUUCAUCUCCAUCUCCAGUGGCUUCCUGUGGCUUCUAGAGUAGCUUUGGACCAAAAAUCACCCCAUGGUGGAAGGGGAUCCAGCUUGAUUCCCAGCUCUCAAGAUGGUUUUUGGUCAUGGUAGAUAGAAGAGACAUUUAUUUGGGCUAUUUGACCUCAAACUGGUGGCCGCUCUCUAGUCCUGGGCUUGGCCAUUGCUGCUCCUUCAUCACUGGUGCUGUUUCACGGGUGAUGGGGUCUGGUCUGGCAGGAGCAUGGAUGGAAGUUGGGCAUCACCACGUCCCGUGGGUGAGUCAGAGGUGGAGGUCCAGGAGGUCCAUGGAUGAGGAGGUGAGGAGGAGGUCCAGGAGGUCCAUGGAUGAGGAGGUGAGGAGGAGGUCCAGGAGGUCCAUGGAUGAGGAGGUGAGGUGGAGGUCCAGGAGGUCCAUGGGUGAGGAGGUGAGGAGGAGGAGGUCCAUGGAUGAGGAAGUCCAGGAGGUCCAUGGAUGGACCAUUGGGAAAUGGAGCCUGGAUGUUUCCUGGUGCCCUUUGGCUCCCUGGAGACCAGGCAGGAACAUCUGGAGGACACCAACAUCAGGUGGAGCUGGGAUGGAUCUGCCCAGCUUGGGGAGGAGAGGAACCCAACCACGGUGUCCAUGGGGGGAGCUGUGGGGUGGCUGAGGAAGCCCCAGAGGUGGUGGGACAGGGUGGGGUGGCACAAGGGUUGGUACCACCAAGGUUGGGAGGCCUGGGGCUGCCCAUGUCCCGUCCCCCCCGCAGCAGAGGUGUCAAAGGAAGUCCACAGCUAUCGUGUCGGG